GCAAAGGCUAAUGGCCUCUGCAUUCCAAGGACAUGUAGGCAAUGAAAUCCUUUCCCAGGAAUAUCACAGAAAUAGUGUGUACUGUGUGGGACAAAAUAUACUCCGCUUGGAAACCAGCAUGAGAAAACACUCAGUUUGCCUGAAAUGAACAUUGUGGCUAAACAGUUCAACUAAGUCUGGUGCUGCAGUUCUAAAGUUUUUAAAAAUUAAGAGACUAUCUGGUGAAAGAUGUUGAUGGAUAAGGUGCCAAAGUAUAAAAGUAUUAAAAUUCUUACUGUAUCAUUAAAUGGAAAAGGAAAACAAUAUUGUUCCAAAGAAAUGAAGGAUAUGAGUAGACAAAUCACAAGGGUGCAAUUGAUUAUUAAACAAUUGAUAAAGAUUUACUAAUCAAAGAAAUGCACAAUUAAAAGAAGACAUGUUUUUUCCAUCUAUCAAGUUAGCUGACUUGAAAAAUGUACAAUAUCCAGGAUUAGAAAAAAAGUGCUGUUGUAGAAAGGGUGACUAACCCACUGGCCGUAGGAGGGAGGUCUGCUCUCUGAAAGGGCAUGGGUUUAGCAAUGUGUGUAAGAAUUUAGCAAGCUUGUGCCCUUUGGCCUAGUACAUGCUCUUAGGAAACACCAUCCUAAGUAAUAACCUUAGAUGCAUAAUAAGCUCCACCUUCAACAUUAGUUCCACUACUGAAAAAAAAGGAAUAAACUAAAUAUCUAAUAUUAGAGAAGUGAUUAGGUAAAUUAUAAUAUUCACUUGUUGAAUAUUAUGCCACCAUUAAUAAGACUUAGGCUUAAAUAACUUAUAACAUGGACACAUAUUUAUAGCAAUACAUUUUAAAAUAGAUUAUAGGAGUUCCCAUCAUGGCUCAGUGGUAACGAACCUGACCAGUAUCCAUGAGGACUCGGGUUUGAUCCCUAGCCUCACUCAGUGGGUUAAGGAUCCCGUGUUGCUCUGGCUGUCGUGUAGGCUGGCACCUGUAGUUCUGACUGUACCCCUAGCCGGGGAACUUCAUAUGCCACGGGUGCGGCCCUAAAAAGACAAUAAAAUAAAAUGAAAUAGAUUAUGAAAUUAUGUAUAUACAACUGUAAAAAGAAAAGAGGCAUAAAGUCAGGAAAGAAAUACUCAAAAUAGAAAUUUUGAGAGCUCCCCUGAGGCUAAGAUGAAUUUGUAUUUGGUUAAGGGAAGUUUAGUUGAAUUAGUUUUUUCUACCUUUUUUUUCUUUUUUUUUAAGAAACAUUCGUUUUCGUUAUAAAGAAAAACAAUUAAAUGUAUAAAAAAGCAUGGCACCAGAAAGCUCUCACGGGCCCUCCUCCUCCAUUGCCUGGGAUUUGGUCAUCUGAGCCAUUGCUGCUGGCUGAGAAGGAGACUUUAUCGCCAUUUGAUUCUGUAUUUCUCAAAAUUUUGUACAAAUGUUCUCCUAAAGAUCAGCACAACUGAAGAUGUUGGAUGGGGGAAUUAGGGGGGUGCAGGAGUAGGAUGUGGAUUUAAAACUUAGAACAGAGAGAAAGUAGAACUUGAUGGAGAUGGGCAAGUUAGCCAAGGAGGCAGGGCCAUGACUUUGCAUGCUGCAUAGAGAUAUGGAAUAUACCACUUGAGCCAUAUUUGUAUCCAUAUAUUCAGUGAAAAUAUUUAUGGAGUGUGGCAUCGGGACUACAGAGCAGAAAAGACACAGGCUUUGUUGUCCAAGGAGGGAGAUAAAAGGGAAGAGAAAUAUGUUUACCACACAGUCUGCUGGUUGUAAUGAUGAUACUGAGUAAGAGAAGUGAAGCCUUGAAACAGCCUAGAGUGUGUCGACCCUUAUGUAAAUGAGGAUAAAGGCAACUCUGCCAAAGACUUGUACCAAGCACUGGUUACCAUGCAUAUACGUAUAUAAAAGUAUACAGGAUGGAUCGGGAGGCAGAGGGGGCAGUUAAAGGGGAUUUGUGUCUCACAUCCAAAGUCCCAUUUCUUUCUGAAAGGAAAAAAGUAUUACAUGUAAAUGUCACAAAAGAUGACAUUCCUGGAGUUCCUGUCGUGGCGAAUCUGACUAGGAAUGCUGAGGUUUGGGUUUGACUCCCUGGCCUCACUCAGUGGGUUAAGGAUCUGGCAUCACCAUGAGUUGUGAUAUAGGUCACAGAUGCAGCUUGGAUCUGGCGUGGCUGUGGCUGGCAGCUGUUCCCAGGCUAGGGGUCUAAUCAGAGCUGUAGCUGCCGGCCUACACUACAGCCACAGCAAUGCCAGAUCCGAGCUGCAUCUGCAACCUAUACCACAGCUCAAUGCCAGAUCCUUAACCCACUUAACGAGGCCAGGGAUCGAACCCACAACCUCAUGGUUCCUAGUUGGAUUCAUUUCUGUUGCGCCACUACGGGAACUCCAUAAGGGAAAGUUAUGCUUUAUUUAAGGUUUUCCCUGAUGCAUUUUGGUCAGUGCUUGUUAAGGCUUCUCAUAUUCUCUUUUCAUUUUUUUCCCUAUUUUUUGUCUUGUUUUGAUUUUUUUUAAGGCUUUAUAGUUUUUCUCUUUUUUCCAUAUUACAAACUAUUAAGUAGAUUUUCCUGUGCUAUACAGUAGGUUUUUGUUAAUAACAUAUACAGUAGUGUGUAUAUGUUAUUCCCAUCCUUCCCAUUCCUCUCUCCCCCUGAAUGGUUUCACUUAUGAUAACUCUAAGAUUGGUUUUGAAAUCUGUGUUUGUUUCUGUUUUAUAAAUGUUAUAUAAUUUUAUUUAAUUCUACAUAUAAGUAAUAUCAUAUGAUAUUUUUCUUUGAUUUACUUCACUCAGUUAUGAUAAUAUCUAGGUCCAUCCAUGUUACUGCAAAUGGCAUUAUUUCAUCCUUUUUUAUGGCUGACUGAUAUUCCAUUGUAUGUAUGUACCACACCUUCUUUAUCCAUUUCUCUGUUGAUGGACAUUUAGGUUGUUUCUAUGUCUUGGCUAGUGUGAAUAGUGCUGCAGUGAACAUUGGAGUGCAUAUAUCUUUUUGAAUUAUGGUUUUCUCCCUAUAUAUGUCCAGGAGUGGGAUUGUUGGAUCACAUGUAAUUCUAUUUUUAGUUUUUUAAGGGACCUCCAUACUGUUCUCUAUAGUGGUUGUACCAAUUUACAUUCCCACCAACAGUAUAAGAGGGUUCCUUUUUCUCCACACCCUGUCCAGCAUUUAUGGUUUGAGGACUUUUUGAUGAUGGCCAUUCUAACUGGGUGUGAGUGAUACCUGAUUUGUAUUUCUCUAUUAAUUAGUGAUGUUGAGCAUCUUCUCAUGUGUUUUUUGGCCAACUAUGUGUCUUCUUUGGAGAAAUAUCUGUUUAGAUUUUAUGCCCGGUUUUUGAUUGGGUUAUGUGGUUUUGGUUUUUUUUUUUUUUGAUAUUUGUAUAUUUUGGAGAUUAAUCCCUUGUCAGUUGCUCUGUUUGCAAAGAUUUUUCUCCAAUUCUGUAGGUUGUCUUUUCAUUUUUUUAUUGUUUCUUUUACUGUGCAAAAGCUUUUACUUAGGUCUUGUUGAUUUAUUUUUGUUCUUACUGAUAUUAUUCUGGGAGGUGGAUCAAACAAAAUAUUGCUGUGAUUUAUGUCAAAGAGUGUUCUGCCUAUGUUUUCCUCUGGGAGUUUUAUAGUUUCUGGCCUUACAUUUAAGUCCUUAAUCCAUUUUGAAUAUGACAUUUGAGAAGGUUCUAAUUUCAUUCUAUUAUAUAUAAAUGUCCAGUUUCCCAGCACCACUUUAUUGAAGAGACAGUCUUCCUCCACUGUUCUUGCCUCCUUUGUCAUAGACUAGUUGACCAUAGGUGCAUGGGUUUAUUUCUGGGAUUGCUGUCCUGUUCCACUGAUCUAUAUUUCUAUUUUUAUGCCAGGGCCUUACUGUUUUGAUGACUGUAGCUUUGUAGUACAGACUGAAGUCGGGAGUCUGAUUUCUCCAGGUCAAUUUUUCUUUUUCAAUAUUGCCUUGGAUAUUUGGGGUCUUUUGUGUUUCUAUACAAAUUUUAAAAUAUUUUGUUCUGUGAAGAAUGUCGUUGAUAACUUCAUAGGGAUUUCUUUUUUUUUUUGGCCACGCCCAUAGCAUGCAGAAGCUCCCAGGCCAGGGAUCAAGCCUGUGCCACAGCCCAGCGACCCUAGGCUCUGCAGUGACAAUGCUGGAUCCUUAACAUGCCACGCCACAAGGGAACUCCAUAUAAGCUCAUUUUAAAACCAGAUUUUCUUCCUAAUUAGCAUAUUAUCCUUGAAAUGCAUUUCCUUUAUGAUUUUUGUCCUCUCCUUGGACCUCAGGUGUUUACGCUUUUGGCCUUGCAUUUUGUCAGCUGCUUUUCUUAUUACACUUACCUAGUUUAAAGGCAGGUGUUUGGCCUUAGCCCCACUUUUAAUGCCAGUUCUCAGGAUCCAGUCCUGCUUUUCUGAAAGACUCACGUUGCCUGAUGCUGGAUCAUCCUCAGGAGUGACUGCAGAAGUGCUUUGCCAGAUUUGCAGUGGUACUGAGUGGGAUGGCAGGGAGCUUUGGCCUUAAAUUAACCAACAUUACACUUUCUUCAAAAUUAUUCCAAAUAACAGAGUAAUAGUCUUCAGAGUGUGGUCUCCGGGCCAGGAGCAUAGGCCUUGUUUGGGAACUUGUUAGAGAGGCAGGUGUCAGGCCAGCCCUGGACCAACUAAAUCAGAGACUGUUUCAACCAGAUCUCCAGGCCACGUGAGUGCACAGUCAAGUGCACAUCGCGUUUGGAAAGCUCUGGACUAAGUCAUGCACAUCAUCUGUCAUUAAUUCAAAGACUAGUGACCCAUUGCUUUCAGGCUCAGCUCUGGAAUCUGGCACACAAGGGUGCAAAAGUGAACAGUGUAGCCUGUUGUGGAUGGCCCAGCCCAGAAGUUAGUUUUAUUCUGAGCACAGCUUUGUUUCCUGCCACUUGUGGAAAGGAGGUCACUGGUCACCAGACACAGGAUAAGAGAAUAGAUAGUACUGGCCUGGGGGGGCAAAGAGCUUACUAGGGCAUAAUGGCUUGAUUCCUCUCCUCUGCUGUUUUCUGAGUGGGGGAACUCUGACCUGUGCUCACAUCAUGUCUUGGGUUUCACCUUACUACCCUGUCUUCUAUGUGCUCAUCUUCCACUCCACCUGAGCUGGGGCAGAGGCCGUGACUUCUUCCUCUUUGUAUCUCUAGCACCUAGCACAGGGCUUGAAGAAAAAAAGGUGCUUCACGAUGCCAUUGAAUGAAUGAGAGAGAGUCGAUUCUCCAGGAGGCAAACACACAGGAUAUUUAGUUGCUGUGAUGCUCUCUGUAAGAUGGGGAAGUGACCCGAGAUAUUCCUGCCCAGGUCCCAGAGGUUGGGGAAUGUUUUGGAGAUACGUUUUUGACUGGAGUUCCACUCUGACCUUUCUUGCCGAAUGAAACUUCAGCUACACCUAGAGCGAGCUGAUGAAAAUCGGGAGGAAAGGGGGCGAAGGAAGAACCCAACUCACUGACUCAGUUCUAACUCUCACCACUUAAUCACUUCCAGUAGCAAUUGAAGUUUCAAUGCAAAUACCCCCAAGCAGCCGGCUUUGGUAUUUCCAGGCCCCACGUGAAGGUCUUCAAAUUGCUCAGACUGGAGUUUGUUCCCUCUUUAAAGAAAAACCCUUCUUUCUGGAAGUGACUUGGUACAUGUACCUAUAAAGGAAAUUCAUCCUGAGGCUGAGGCAGGCAGAAGGAAUCAAGGAACUCAAUUCAAGGAAGUUGCCGACGUGACUUUUAUUUCCCUCUUCUGUCACUUCCCUCUUUCCCAAGGCUUCCUCACUUCUACCUGUCCUGACAGGACCUUUAGAGUCUUGGAGGAAAUCAAAGUGUCUUAAAGGCUCCUGGUCUGCUGAACUGUUUUCUUUGAAAAUUUUGGUUCUUGUUUGCUUAGAAAUUCGAGGAAGACUUUCUCUAGACUAGAAUGUUUGGGUUCUAAAGUUUUUCUUUAGGGAACUCCAGGCUUCAGCCACCCAAACCAACGGCACAAAGGAAAACGAGUAGGUGUAAAAGAAAAAGAAAAAAAAA
rnacentral:lncRNA from 1 species